rnacentral:lncRNA from 1 species
CUCCAUCACCCUGAGGGACUCCUGCUCUUUAGCACACAGGGAAGGCCCAUUUAAUGUGCACUAGUCCCAGCACCUCCAUGAAGAAUUCUUUAUAACAGGGGAGCCAACCACCGCAGACCGAGGACCUGUGUUCAGCCAGGCCAUCUUUCCAGGAUAUGGAGAAACCCUGACUCCAAACAUCACCCCACCCAGGCUCCCGGGCAAGCUUCACUUUCUAGGAGGUCCUGUCUCCCCUCCUGAUCAAAUGGAGUCCUGUCAGGUCUGAGAAAGACACAGCUGCCUUGGGACAGGCCAACCCACACCAAUGCUUCCCCCGAACAGUGCUUGCCCAGACAGCUUUGGCAUUCUGGCAUAUACUUUGGGACUGGAAGUUGUUAUUGUUUCCCUGGCAACCACCAUAGAUGAAGAGUUGGCACGUGCCGUUUUUCUUAUUAUACCACCAACGAGGGAAGUAAGCCAUGCAGUAGCCAGAGUCUUUUGGUAGGCUGCAAAUAUCUGCGGAGGAACCCCAGAGUUGAGAGCUCAAGAGUGCACAACCCGAAACAAAAUAAUGAGAGCCACCUUCCCCUUCUCCUUCCCCUUGGAGCAAACUCUUUCUCCCCCUCCCGCUCCAGUGGUUCAACACCUGAAACAUUUCGUGUACUUGUGGAAGAUGCUACGGAGGAUAUCCGCGUCCCUGGAGGUAGGCAUCCUUGUGGAUGGUUAUGGUCUGAACAUGAAAUGUCCCCUCACAGGCUUACAUUCCGAAGACU